GACGGCGUGGCCAAGUGGUAAGGCAAGGGCCUGCAAAGCCCAUAUCCCCGGUUCGAUUCCGGGCGCCGUCUCCA
rnacentral:tRNA from 1 species